GCCUUGCCCGCCGGGCGCCGGUUCGGGGGCCGGUCGGGCUGGCGGCGAAGGGGGUGCUUGCAGCCCGCGCGCCUGGGCGGGCGGUCUCCCCAGGCCUCCCCUCCGUCAGGCCCGCGGGACGAGAAAGUUCCAAGCAAAGCACCCGCUCUUAAUGGCGGCUGCGGCGGGGGCGGGGUACGCACCUGAGGUCCCCGCCGGCGGGCAGUGCCCGGCCGGCCGCGGGGUCCGAGGGCUGAGCCACCUGGGAGUGGCCCGGGGGCCGAGGGCGGCGGCCGCGACCGCGAAGAGGCGAGGGCGCGGCGUGUGGGCGGCGGCCGAAGCCCUGCUCUCCACUAUCCCUUCUUUUUCUUUCUUUUCCUUUUUUUUUUUUUUUUUUGGCUUCCUGGAAGGCAGCCUAGACUCGUGUGUCCGCAGCGCCCCAAGUGGGAGUUGCCGUUUCCGGUGCCGUGGAAUAGUUCAGCUUCACAGUGAGCUUGUUGGAAGUCCCUUAGUCCCGCUCUGUUCAAGGCCAGACGUGCUCGUCCAUCUUCAGCCUUAGAUGAGUGGCUGCACGUGUCUGGUCUCACCCCUGACACCGCCCCCGAACGAGGACUACUUUCUUGCUGUUCUUUAAUUUGAUAGUUUCGCAUGAUUGCAGUUUGUACCUUUAAAGCGGUGAGGUCACAGCUCCAGUGACCGGUGAAUCUGCCUUAAAGCCAAUGAGUUGUUUGUUAUAUUACUGUAACAACGUGUCCUCACCUUUUGAUGGGGGUCAGUGACAUAACCAACCAAUCAUGAGCUGUCCCUCAGAUGGUGAUGGCACUCCAGCAAGUAGUCGAAUAUUACUAUAGUGUUGUUUAAGCAAAGUUACAGCUACAUAUUUUAUAUAUGCCAAAAGGAGAAUAGAAUAAUAGAAACCAUUUACCCAUUGCUCCAAUUAAACAUAGCUGCCUUGUUUCUCGUUUUAAAGGAAUAUUCAGACGCAAUUGAAGGCAGCGUUCUCAUUCUUUACUGUCUUGAAGUUAUGUUCUAAUACACAUUUUCUUUUGCAAAAAGACAAGUGUCACGAUUCGCUGACAUUUUUUUCUGUAAGUGGCUCACAAAGAUAUGCUUCCUAGCAGAAGCUGCUAAAAAAGAUGUUAUUUCAAGGUAAAGAUAACCAUCCAGCAGUUAGUUGAGAUGGUACCUGCUUUUUUUGACAUCAUUUUUAAAAGAGAUGUUUGAAAAUAUUUCCAUUAUGUUAUAGUUGAUUCCUUCUGUUUGGAAGAGUUAUGGUGUAUAAAUUCUUAGCAAACACUGAGCAAAACUGAAUACUGCUCCUAGGAGAAAUACAGGAUUAGGUUUCUGCCAGCCUCUUCACAUUUUGGUAAAACUAUCAAUACAUAACCUUGUUUUAUGUGUGUAUCUGUUUAAAGACACCUUAUUUAAUGUAUAUUGUUGAUUCAUUAGUUGAACUUAUGGCCAACAGCGCUGUAACUGUUGUGUGAAGGAAGCUUAGCUAACACAAGUAUUUUCUACGUAAGGCACAUCGCUGCCUUGUGCUUGGGAAUACUAGACAAUGCUAUGUUUGAGGACCAUUUUAAACAGCAAAAUCAUCAAAAAAAAAGAAAAAAAGAAGAAAAAACCCCCCAAAUGUGGGAAGUGUAGCAUUAUAUAGACCAGGAAAAGGACACUUGUUUACAGUGGGAGACUGGUGUCACCUUGCUCUACCUCAGCUGGGAACGUGCGCGGCAGGCAAAACAACUUUUUUUGCCACUCUACUGUGUCUGCUAAUCGGUGAAAGCAGAGGAUACAUAAUCAAAAUAAUUUGGAGACUACUGCCCUAGAAAGCUGGAAGAUCCCUUUUCUCAGAAAACUGAAAGAAGAAUUUACCCAGAAGCAGCGAGCUGAAUUCAUCAAGCAGAUGGCUGAAACCAAUGGUCCUAUGGUGUCCGUGUCAGCUCAGACCCUCUCUCCAGCUCUUGGGAGAUCUGAUUCUCGUUCCUCCAGUGGAUGGUAACUCUGGUUGCAUGCAUGUAUGGGCCCUGUGAGCUCCUUUCUGUGUCUGAGGCAUCUGUGGAGUUUUUGGUAGAAAUUUUAAAAUGCCUGGCGUGCACGUGGGACAAGAAGCUUGAAGAGAGUCAGAGCUUGCGUGGAACUGCUCGUCCUCCCAUGUCAGAGACGUCAGACUAAGGACAAGAGGGGUGACCGAGGACCCUGGGUGCACCUGCUCCCGUACAUAUCUGUAGAGUCACAAAUUCAGAGAUAUUUUCCCUAAUAAAAUCCUUGCCUAUCUAAUCCCACGGAGGCCUUGCGGAAUUAAAGAACCUCAGCUAAAAUUGGAGUCAGGACAGGACUGUAGGGGAGCGCACCAUGUGUCUUCAAUUACUCCAAACAGGAAGAGACAAAUGCCCACAUCUGGGACAGGAAGAUGCCUCUACCCAACCAAUGAGAAGCCACUAUACUUUGGACUCCCAGCUUCCUCCAGUGGACUCUUUGGUUAUCACAGCCCCUCCCAAUUACCCACUUUUCCAUAUAAAAGCAAGUUCCCUUUCGUUGUUCUCCGGAUUUGCCUGUGGUCUGUCAUAGUUUGUACUUCUCAA